AAUGGCAUUAUUUUUGGACUCAAUUCAUUUCCUUAGUGCUGCAACCUCCUUCAACAGUGAGAGCUUUGUGCCUUCAAAACACCUAAACUCACUAAUAAUCAUUUAACUGGGAAUUGCAGAAUGUGGGGCAUCAUUUGUCAAUACAGUCUUCCCAUCUUCAUAAUGCCUCAGGGAAGCAGCUCGAAGAGAGAUAUGUUUCCACAUGGACAGCCCAGUCAAGACCCAAAAUAUCACAGCAGGAAGGAGCUGCAAAAACGCUAUACUCUUCUUUCAUUGACUCCUUUGUGAACCAGCCACCUCAACCAAGAAUCCCAAAGAAUCCCAGGAAUAGAGCACGCUUACUGCUAAUUGUAGAUAGGCUGUUUCUACAUUGUGUGAACAUUCUUUUCUCCCAAGGAAAGUCAAUUCCUUUAAAAGGAAAACAAUUUAUUCCAAAGCUCGCAUCUAUUCCCAACGGGUUCUACAAAGCUGGGGAAAGGCUUUGUAGAGGAAUGGGGAACUGUGAGGAAGAAAACAAAGAAAAUAUGGGGUUAAACAGUGAAAGCCGGCUCUGUGGGCAGAAGACAUCUUGUAUUGUGUGCACCAUUUCCUGUGGAGACCUUUUCUCCUUACUGCAAGAGAAGCCCCAGCUGUUGAUGGCAGUUCUAGGAAGUUUUAGGAACAAAUAAGAAGCAGAAUUUUAAGUUUCCCUACUGAACUAAAGCAGCAGAAGAUGAGUAGCAGAGACUGUUAGUCCCUGUGCGAUGUCUCCUUGGGUGACAGUAGAAACUUGGGAUUUCCUGCCAAACUGCUCAUGACUUCUCAGCCUUUUAAAUCUCUCAUACUCUACAAUACUUUAAGAUUUCUGUUAAAUUAAACCCUCUACUCCGGGUUCAUCUCACCACCAUUCUUAGUCUCACAAUCUUGGCCCUAUUAGCUGGAAUAGCCUUUCUUCAAACCACUUCCUUCCCUUGUUCAGAAUAUAUGGCACCCAAACUCCAUGCCCUACCACUUUUCCCUGUGGAUCCUCAACAGACCUUACUCAGACUAUGUUAUCUGGAAGGGUCUUUUUUGUGCUGCUUUCUUUGUUUUCUUCUUCUCCCCCCCCCCCCCCCCCCCCCC
rnacentral:lncRNA from 12 species